CAGUAGCCGCGGUAAUACGUAGGUGGCAGGCGUUGUCCGGAAUUAUUGGGCGUAAAGGGCUCGCAGGCGGUUUCUUAAGUCUGAUGUGAAAGCCCCCGGCUCAACCGGGGAGGGUCAUUGGAAACUGGGAAACUUGAGUGCAGAAGAGGAGAGUGGAAUUCCACGUGUAGCGGUGAAAUGCGUAGAGAUGUGGAGGAACACCAGUGGCGAAGGCGACUCUCUGGUCUGUAACUGACGCUGAGGAGCGAAAGCGUGGGGAGCGAACAGGAUUAGAUACCCCAGUAGUCCCUGUCUCUUAUAC
rnacentral:rRNA from 1 species